GCUAGUGUAGUGUAGUGGUUGAGUGUCGGACUAUGAUUCUGGAGACCGGGGUUCAAAUCCCCACCUUGGGCA